rnacentral:lncRNA from 10 species
GAGUUUUUCUUCACCCAUGGUCAGGGAGGCGCCAUCGCCCUGGCUUUGGGGCUGGGGCCUCCGGGGAGGUUCCGGUAGGGGCGUUGGAGAGGCCGCUCUUUUUGCAAGGCCCGAGAUGGCGGGCCCUGCGCAGGCCGCCCUAUUCCGCGCCCUCAGGGCGUCAGUAUCCGCCUGAGGCCGGAUACCCACUCUGGGCUCGGAUACCCGCGCUGGGCCCGGAGCAUCCUCGGCGCUGCCCUCCCAGAGCCCCGCAGAGGCUGAGGUGGCGCGGGGGCGGCCCCGGCUCCGCGAGAAGAGGCGGCAGCGAGGGCUGGAGGACCCGGGCUACGGGGCUCCGGGGCGUCUGGCCUGGGUGGGACUGAGCCCAUCCAGGGACUGGGACUCCGGGGUUCUGGUGUAGGUGGAUCCCGGGCAGGCUCAGGACCAAGACCCUCUCCUUCCACCAAGGAGCGCCCAGAGGCCGGCGGGAGCUCCAGGUUCACCUCCUCCUCCUCCAGGAAAUCCCACUUCCAGCUGGAUGUCUGGAUGAACUCCUGAAAGCUGCUGAGUGUCCUGCAGCAGGCCAUUUCCAAUCCAGAGGAAGACCUUCUAGAAGAAGUGAUGGGUGGGAGAGUGCUGACAUACUAUGCAAAGCUACUAUUUGGAGUUGGACACGAGUGCAUGUGACCUUGUGCCACAGCGGGAAUGUGAGCUGGAUGACAAAUGGAGAUUUGGACUUGUGAUAAUUGGCCUCUGUGUCAUUGUGUGGAAGACUGACUGGUCCCUUUAUUUCCUGUAGCUUGACUACCACACAAAUUAAUCCACUCAAAUGUUGGCAAGUGGAGCAGAGUCCCAGGACAGAGUCUCACUCUGUCACCCAGGCUAGAGUGCAAUGGCAUGAUCUCGGCUCACUACCACCUCCGCCUCCAGGGUUCAAGCGAUUGUCCUGCCUCAGCCUCCCAAGUAGCUGGAACUACAGGCACGUGCCACCACACCCUGCUAAUUUUUUGUAUUAGUAGAGACAGGGUUUCACCGUGUUGGCCACUGACUUCAUGAUCCCAAAGUGCUGGGAUUACAGUGCCUCGGCCUCCCAAAGUGCUGGGAUUACAGUGCCUUGGCCUCCCAAAGUGCUGGGAUUACAGGUGUGAUCCCACUAAUGGUUUUUUCAUGACCUAUCUUGUGUGCUCCUA